rnacentral:lncRNA from 1 species
AGGCUCUAGUUUUGAUACACUAACAGUACUUGGUUCUCAUAAAGGUGACGUCAUUCCACUAGCUAAUGACCGUUUUUUAAUACACCUCACUCUUCACUCCUCCUCAUCUCAGCAACAAUCUCUGGCUCUCUCUUCAGUCUUCAGUAUAGAGCCUAACAUGGAGUUUUUCCAGUAUAAUGAUACUCUUCCACAAUAUGUCAGGAAGUUGAACGACGUCCUUUUUAAAUGGCCACCGCUGUUCACUCUCACUGAGGACAGGAUUGUUGGUCUACAGUGUCUCUAAUGCUAUGAUCAUUGCUGCCAUUCAUCCACUGGAAUACUGUAGAAUGUUUAGCUAUAACACUCCAAAUGGUCCCUCUCUCUUACAAACUCUGUCUUUGUCAUCAUUUCAUAAAAUCUCAGUCUCUCCUGAUCUAGGAGUGUCUCUUAAUUCAUUGGAUCAAUGUUCCCUCCCACUCAAUGCACUGGAGACUGGAACUGAGAC